AUCAUGGAAGAGAGAGAUGAUGAUGCUUUCUCUAGUUUUUGGUUUCUCUGUAUUCUCUCAAGUUCUUCUCCUCUCCCUACCACCAAAAUUAAGUGCAAGCCUACAAACUUUGCACGAGUCUCGUCCCCGUUAAUAACGGAGAAGAUCUCAUGGUGGUGUCCCUUUUUUCUUGAUGUUGUGUUUGUUGUGCCGGGUUUGGGAGAUCAAGAGGAGAUUGGGCAAGUUCAUGUUGUGGAGAGGAAACACGAAGAUAUAGAUCCUCAAGGGAUUUCUGUAAGAGUUACAGAAAAAGAAAUCAUAGAACUCUCACUCUUUCUCUCAAGUUUUUCUUUUUGAAAUGCCCUACUCUUUCCCAAAAGCACCAAGGAUCCCACAAUCCUUGUUCCUUAUUGGAGAAUAGCAAGGAAGUUCUUUUGGUGGUGUCUACUGUUCAUGAUCGGUGGUGCUCCUGGAAAGAUUGGCAGUAUGUUGAGUUUGAGGGAGUUCUAGACUGUAUUAUUUGUGACUUGGAGAGGAAACAUCGUGAAGAGAGUUUUCAAAGAGCCCACACUUCUGGAUUUUCACACCGAGAAUACCAAGGUAGCCAUUGUGGUAGUGUCUUCAUUCAACUCGACUGAAUCAAGGUUUUUAGAGGUCGUUCAUUGAGUUCGUGUUCUUGGAGAUCGUUGUGUUCGUGUUUGCUGAUUGAUCGUGCUAUGUUCUGGUUGCUGUGUUCGAGCGUUCGUGUGUUGGUAUCUUAGAGACUGAACGAGUAUUUGUGAUCGAGGGAGUUUGAAGAUGAGUCUUCAAAGGUAUGUAUAAUCUUUCCCUUGAUCUUAUUGUAAAGCAUGCUGUAAUUUCAUUAUUGUAUAUGACCUGUAAGUUUCUGUUUCUUGACUGUAAUUGUUAGUGUUCAAUUUCAAAUGAAAU